rnacentral:rRNA from 1 species
GACGAACGCUGGCGGCGUGCUUAACACAUGCAAGUCGAGCGGGGAGGCGUUUUCGGCGACCGGCUGCUGAGGCUCAAGGGUCACAGGAGCAGGUGCUGGAAGGACUUCCAGCGGCGGACGGGUGAGUAACGCGUGAACAAUCUGUCCCAGACAGGGGGAUAACAGAUGGAAACAUCUGCUAAUACCGCAUAAGACCACGGAGCCGCAUGGCACUGGGGUAAAAGGAGCAAUCCGGUUUGGGGUGAGUUCGCGUCUGAUUAGCUAGUUGGUGAGGUAACGGCCCACCAAGGCGACGAUCAGUAGCCGACCUGAGAGGGUGAUCGGCCACACUGGAACUGAGACACGGUCCAGACUCCUACGGGAGGCAGCAGUGGGGAAUAUUGGGCAAUGGGCGAAAGCCUGACCCAGCAACGCCGCGUGAAGGAAGAAGGUUUUCGGAUUGUAAACUUCUGUCCUCAGGGAAGAAGGAAGUGACGGUACCUGAGGAGGAAGCCCCGGCUAACU